GCACAUCCUCAUUCUCGGCUGGUGGUAAGAAAGGGGAGAGGGUCAGCUGCUGAGGACCGUCCUCCCCUGGGGGUUCCUGGAAUGUGUGAGCUGGGAGGACAGGUGCCCCGGCCUCUUUCUCGGAGAAGAGGAGAAGGAGCCUGGGGGGAAGGCACCCCAGUGACAACCGCAGAGGGAGGGCACCAACCCCCAACACAAACUCAGGGCCACCAACUCUGGGCCACCUCCGUGUGAGGAAGGCAAAGAAGGCAGUCUGCCCGGUCACUGAGGCUGAAACCUCAGAGCUGAGCUGUGGCCUCCACUCACCCACCACUGGCCCAUCCUCCCUCCACGGCAGGGGCGCCUUUCCCAGAAGGCUCUGGCGUUGCUUAGACCACAGCGGAGGCCGGUGCUCAACUUUUAGAAUUGCUGUUGGAAAUAAAUAAUUCAUAUAUGUAAAAA